rnacentral:rRNA from 1 species
UACGAAGGGGGCUAGCGUUGUUCGGAAUUACUGGGCGUAAAGCGUAUGCAGGCGGACUUUUAAGUCGGGGGUGAAAUCCCGAGGCUCAACCUCGGAACUGCCUUCGAUACUGGAAGUCUUGAGUCCGGGAGAGGUGAGUGGAACUCCGAGUGUAGAGGUGAAAUUCGUAGAUAUUAGGAAGAACACCAGUGGCGAAGGCGGCUCACUGGCCCGGUACUGACGCUGAGGCGGCGAAAGC